rnacentral:rRNA from 1 species
CAGCCGCCGCGGUAAUACAGAGGGUGCAAGCGUUAAUCGGAAUUACUGGGCGUAAAGCGCGCGUAGGUGGUUAGUUAAGUUGGAUGUGAAAUCCCCGGGCUCAACCUGGGAACUGCAUUCAAAACUGACUGACUAGAGUAUGGUAGAGGGUGGUGGAAUUUCCUGUGUAGCGGUGAAAUGCGUAGAUAUAGGAAGGAACAUCAGUGGCGAAGGCGACCACCUGGACUGAUACUGACACUGAGGUGCGAAAGCGUGGGGAGCAAACAGGAUUAGAUACCCCAGUAGUCCCUGUCUCUUAUAC